rnacentral:rRNA from 1 species
CACGUAGGAGGCGAACGUUAUCCGGAUUUAUUGGGCGUAAAGCGCGUGUAGGUGGUUCUGUAAGUAGGGCGUGAAAGCUCCUGGCUCAACCGGGAGAGGCCGUUCUAUACUGCAGAGCUAGAGGAUGGUAGAGGGAGGUGGAAUUCCAGGUGUAGCGGUGGAAUGCGCAGAUAUCUGGAGGAACACCAGUGGCGAAGGCGGCCUCCUGGACCAUUCCUGACACUGAGACGCGAAAGCUAGGGUAGCAAACGUGAUUAGAUACCCCUGUA